UACGGGGGGAGCAAGCGUUGUUCGGAUUUACUGGGCGUAAAGGGCGCGUAGGCGGUCAGCACAAGUCAGUUGUGAAAUCUCCGGGCUUAACUCGGAAAGGUCAACUGAUACUGUGCGACUAGAGUGCGGAAGGGGCAACUGGAAUUCUCGGUGUAGCGGUGAAAUGCGCAGAUAUCAGGAAGAACACCUAUGGCGAAGGCAGCUCUCUGGGACGGUACUGACGCUGAGACGCGAAAGCGUGGGGAGCAAACAGG
rnacentral:rRNA from 1 species